AUUACACUGUGCACAUUACAUUUAUUCAUUUAUUUUAAUAUUUGUUCUUUUAAUGUAGGCUAUCGCUGCUAAAUUAUGACCAUCUGACAAUAGAUUGGAGUCUAUCUCCAAUCUAUUGAUCUCCUCUUGGUGUUUUAUUGCAGGUCUCUUACAGCAUUAGAUCUGCAACAAACAAAACCAGACUGUGUGGAUUCCUUCUGAUGUGAGACUGCAGAGCCUGAAGAUUUCAGGAUUCAGACCCAAACAGUCCCAACAUUUGUGGUUCGAAUGGAAGACACCCCCAAAGCACUAUAACAUAAUGGAGAGCAGGGAAAGUCAUUUCCAGUCCUUGAGAAGCUCUGAAGAGGUUCUUAAAGAACAAACAAACAAACAAAAGCCACUUGGAGUCUGGAUGGAUCAAGCUGGGUCGGCCUGUUAAUCUAUCUGAGGUGUUACCAUGGCAACCAUCACACAUCCAGACCUCAGUUGCCUCUGCCUGGAGAAGUGGCCUACAAAACACAAGCAAGCCAGAUGUGGAGUAACAAGGACCCCAUCUGGCCACUCACUGCAGGUGCAUUUUUUUUUACUUUUUGGAUGCUAGUUGGUGUGGAGUGUAUAAUUAGGCAGAAAAAAGAUAUAAAUGGUUACUAAUCUCAAAGACCACUCUACUCUUUCAGAACUAAAGGUCUGCAAACUGUCACUGGGGUGGUACCUUUUCAAAAGGGACACAUUUGUACUUGAAGAGUCUAUAUUAACCAGCUAAACUCGGCUGUUAUUUUGGGAUUCCUGCCUGGAUUUUGCCUACCCAAAUUUAAAAGCUUCCCAAUUCCACAUGCAGAGGUGUAAAUGCUAAACUUUGGUAUCAUUUUAAAGAAAACCAUUUGA
rnacentral:lncRNA from 1 species